AUUCGUAUUGCACAGUGUAAGAAAAAAAAUCAAAAUUUAGAAUGGUAGAAUCAACUUUAGAAAGAAUUAGAAAUUUCAAGUAGCUUUAAACUUACACAUAUUCAGAUUCAGAAAUUAAUUAAGUCUUCCACCUUCUCGAUCUUCAUCGUCUGCUUCCUUCAUUUGCUUCGACUUCAGGAAGGUGUCGUUUCAUCCUCCCGCUUCCGACCGCUACAGGUUUGGUUUGUUGUAUGUAUAAAACUGUGCACGUCUUUUCAUUCUUCGAUCGAUUGUCUUCUGAUUCUAUGUCUUAUCCGCUUGAACAAUGCUAUUGGUUAAUUUUCUCUGAUUUCUUAACAAAUAUUAGAUUUUUUAUUGGUUUCAUUGUAUGUUUAUUAUUAUGAUAACGUAUCCAUUGACGUCUUGGUGGUUUGAUCCCGAGGAUUACUGAAUUUGGGUCCAGUUUUUUUAUGGGUAAGAUUUAUUUGACGGUUCCUAGGGAUUUUGUUGACGUUUUCUUCUCUAAUGUCUUGAUUUCGUUGGUGAUUAUUUUUAAUCGUGUCAAUGGAAACGAUGUUAUUGAUUGUUUUUACUUUAUCAUAGUUUUGUUGAUGAUUCGGGUUGGAUUGUUUUUUGUUAGGUGAAUGAGAAAGAUGCCCUAGCUUCACACAAUAGAUGAUUCUAAACCCAUAACACUCAGUGUGCGAUUGAGGUAAGUCAUUGUUCAAUAGAGGUGAAAUUGUUGUGUCUCAGAAUUUACCCUUUUUCAAAAAAAAAAAAAGCAACCAAACACAGGGUAUGCUCUCUUCCUAUUAUGGUCGUGGUAUAAAAUUUUUUUAUCGGUUUUCAUUUAUAAUUGGCUUUGUUUUUAGAAAAUAGAAGAAGUAGCCGCAAUAAUUCAAUGAUUUGCAUAAAUUUUGUUAAAAAAAAACUGUUUUCUUUUGGCUUCUAUAAAUGAAUUUAACCUUUUGAUGUUGCUUUCUCGAAAGGUGGGUGCUUUUAGGGCUUUUUUUUUUUUUUUUUUUUCCACUUGCAUACAUUUUCUCUGAUCGGAUUACAUGUGUAUUGAUUUCAAAUUCAUGUUCUUUGCAUUUUGUGAACCUGCUACCCAUGAAGGGAGCAACAUUGUUAGUAAAUCGACUUAAGAAGUAUGCCAAC
rnacentral:lncRNA from 1 species